AAGACUAUAUUUUCAGGGAUCAUUUCUGUAGUAUGUUACUUAGAGAAGUUUUUCUGAAUGUGUAGAGCACCGGUAAGAAAAAGAAAAUGA
ensembl:snoRNA U3 Small nucleolar RNA U3